GAAAUGCGAUAUAUAGUGUGAAUUGCAGAAUUUAGUGAAUCAUCGAAUCUUUGAACGCAUAUUGCGCCCCUUGGUAUUCCGAAGGGCAUAUCUGUUCGAGCGUCAGUAUUAUCUUCAGGUAUAGCUUGGUGUUGGGUUUUUUGUCUAAAAUAUUUUAGACUAGCCUUAAAACUAUCGGUGGCAAGUCGGUCGACUAUGGCGUACAGUACAUUGCUACUGCCUGUCGAGUUGUAUAUGCGUGGCCGAAAACGCAAUUUAUUUAUAUUUGACCUCGGAUCAGGUAGGAAUACCCGCUGAACUUAA
rnacentral:misc_RNA from 1 species